CUAGUAACGGCGAGUGAAGAGGGAAGAGCCCAAGAUUGAAAGCUGGCGUCUUUGGCGUCCGCAUUGUAAUCUCAAGAAGUGUUUUCCGCUUCGGACCAUGCCUAAGUCCCUUGGAAAAGGGCAUCAUAGAGGGUGAUAAUCCCGUACAUGGCAUGGAGCGCCCGAAGCUUUGUGAUACACUUUCUAAGAGUCGAGUUGUUUGGGAAUGCAGCUCAAAAUGGGUGGUAAAUGCCAUCUAAGGCUAAAUAUUGGGGAGAGACCGAUAGCGAACAAGUACAGUGAUGGAAAGAUGAAAAGAACUUUGAAAAGAGAGUUAAACAGUACGUGAAAUUGCCAAAAGGGAAGGGUAGGAGGUCAGAGAUGCGGUCUGGGAUUCAGCCUUGCUUUUGCUGGGUGUUUUUCUCAGAUUGCAGGCCAACGUCGGUUUUGGGCGCUGGAGAAGGGUGGAAGGAAUGUGGCACCUCUCGGGGUGUGUUAU
rnacentral:rRNA from 2 species